GACCCAUAAACCCUAGCCUUAUUCAACAUAUCACACGCCUCUCAUCUCUCUCUCUCUCUCUCUCUCCUCUCCUCUCUUUCUCAGACUGAGUUCUCUCUCUCUGUUCUUGUUAUUUCAUCUCAUAUCAGAUCGAUCAGAUCGCUAGCGGCUUGGUCUCUUGCUCUAUCUCUCUCUCUCGGUGACACUGUUGGUUUCCAUCUCAUCGCAAAAUGUAACCCAUUAACAUCUGUAUAAUAUGUAUUUAUUUUUUAUUGUCUUGAUGUAUUGAUGAUGGGAUUGAUUUUA